ACUCCUACGGGAGGCAGCAGUGAGGAAUAUUGGUCAAUGGAGGGAACUCUGAACCAGCCAUCCCGCGUGUAGGAAGACGGCCUUAUGGGUUGUAAACUACUUUUAUACAGGAAGAAACGUACCCUCGUGAGGGUGCCUGACGGUACUGUAGGAAUAAGCACCGGCUAACUCCGUGCCAGCAGCCGCGGUAAUACGGAGGGUGCGAGCGUUAUCCGGAUUUAUUGGGUUUAAAGGGUCCGUAGGCGGAUUAAUAAGUCAGUGGUGAAAUCCCAUCGCUUAACGAUGGAACUGCCAUUGAUACUGUUAGUCUUGAAUGAGGGUGCAGUGGUUGGAAUGUGUAGUGUAGCGGUGAAAUGCAUAGAUAUUACACAGAACACCGAUUGCGAAGGCAGAUCAUAACCCCUAAAUUGACGCUGAGGGACGAAAGCGUGGGGAGCGAACAGGAUUAGAUACCCUGGUAGCACAGAG
rnacentral:rRNA from 1 species